GUCGAGAGUUCUCCUGCGGCUGCCCAGCCUGAUCGUUACGCGUGCCAACUCCAGCAACUGUUCGGGAGUUUGCCUGGGGAGUCCGGCGUGGCGACCUCGCUCUCCCGCAGUCGCUCAGACCAGUGGAUCGUCGGUCGACCACGCCGGCUCUCGACGCACC
rnacentral:sRNA from 1 species